GAUCCUGGCUCAGGACGAACGCUGGCGGCGCGCCUAACACAUGCAAGUCGAACGAGAGAGAGGAAGCUUGCUUCCUCAAUCGAGUGGCGAACGGGUGAGUAACGCGUGAGGAACCUGCCUCAAAGAGGGGGACAACAGUUGGAAACGACUGCUAAUACCGCAUAAGCCCACAGCUCGGCAUCGAGCAGAGGGAAAAGGAGCAAUCCGCUUUGAGAUGGCCUCGCGUCCGAUUAG
rnacentral:rRNA from 1 species